UACAGAGGGUGCUAGCGUUGUUCGGAAUUAUUGGGCGUAAAGAGCGCGUAGGCGGCCCUGUAAGUCCGCUGUGAAAGUCAAGGGCUCAACCCUUGGAUGCCGGUGGAUACUGCAGGGCUAGAGUCCGGAAGAGGCGAGUGGAAUUCCUGGUGUAGCGGUGAAAUGCGCAGAUAUCAGGGGGAACACCGAUGGCGAAGGCAGCUCGCUGGGACGGUACUGACGCUGAGGCGCGAAAGCGUGGGGAGCGAACAGG
rnacentral:rRNA from 1 species